rnacentral:lncRNA from 1 species
UUUUUAAAAAAGAUUUUAUUUAUUUAUUAUGUAUACAACAUUCUGCUUCCAUGUAUAUCUGCACACCAGAAGAGGGCACCAGAUCUCAUAACGGAUGGUUGUGAGCCACAAUGUGGUUGCUGGGAAUUGAACUCAGAACCUCUGGAAGAGCAGUCGGUUCUCUUAACCUCUGAGCCAUCUCUCCAGCCCAACAUUUUACUUUUAUGGGACAGGGUCUCAUGUAUCCCAGGCUGGCUUUGAACCCACUAGGUAGCCAAGGAUGAUGUCAAACUCCUGAUCCUGCCGCUUCUGCCUCCCAAGUGCUUGGGAGGUUUGUGCCACCACACCUGGCCACUUUUUUUUUCUUUAGAGACACUUUUUUUUUUCUUUAGAGUCUUUUUCUGUACCCCGGUCUGGCCUCAAACCUGUAGCAAUUCUGCCUCAGCCUCCCAUGUUCUAGGAUGACAGGUGUGAGCCACCAUGUCCAUGUGAUGAGUCUCAGGGCUCUGGUUCAGUAGCAGUUGGAUAGAACAUGUUUUGGACACUUGAGUUUAAGUCAUGGCCACAGUUCCAGGAACAGAGACAGCAGAACAAGGAGGGCUGAAUGGCAUCUGCUUUACCCUGGAGUGGUUCCUCAGAUGCCACCUUUGGUACCUAGAGCCAGCUCAUUUUCUGUUGUGGGACAGCUGCCCCAGGCAUUGCGAGUAACUAAGUAUGAUGCUCUUCACUGUGAUACAACUAUAAAUAUCUCCAGACACUGUCCAGCGCCUCCUGAAUACAAAAAUCACAUCACCCUGGGAGUGGCUGUACUGGAUCAAGGUGUGGGAAGGAGGCACUCAUGAAGGGGCUGGAAAAGGUGGUGGGGGCCAGGGCUGGGAAUACAGCUGUGUGGGUCGGAUGCUUGCCUAGCUCUGAGCUCCUAAAGACUGACUCCCCAAGACAGCAUUUUCCAAGUUAGCUUCUGCCCUGAUGACUCUCAGCAAAUGUCAUCCUCCAGGCCUGUCCUUACCUACAACAUGACACACACCUCCACAGAGGAGAUACAUGGCUUGGGAGCAGAACUCCAUUAAUCUGGCAAUCGGUUGCUGGUACAGAGAGAUACAAGAUGGCUAUAUCCACACAAGGGCUUUGUGAUGUCCAUGUCAUCCCAGCUUGC